UAUGUUCGUUGCCAUAUCAAUCCUCACUGUGGUGGCUGUGUGCACAGCUCUCUCUUUCACUGAGUUUGACUUUAGACGGUGGUAUCUUUACGUGAUUGUUAUAAUAACAGCAUUUACUGCGACCUAUAUUAUGAUGUAUGUAUCAAAAAACAGAUACAAAAUACCAUUGAAAUCGAUUACCUGGACAUUGCUGCCCGUUGGUACUGUACUACAUGCAAUAAUGUUCAUAUUAGAGUUGCAAUUAAUCAUCGGUGGAGGGAAGAUAGUUAUGGGUGAAAAUGAAGUCGUGUAUACUGCAUUCCUGCUAUACACGGCUCCUGUUGACGUUUUCAUUAAAAUAUUCGAAGUUAUUUUUGGGACUGAAGACUGAACGAGUUAAAACGCUGAA